GGUUGUAUAGUGUAGCGGUUAUCACUCCGGAUUCUGAUGGAUAUUUUCAGAAAAAAAUAUUCCGGCAACCCCGGUUCGAUUCCGGGUACGACCU